AGCCUUCUUAGCUUAGUUGGUAGAGCACCCGCUUAGUAAGCGGGAGGUCGUCGGUUCAACUCCGGCGAAGGCUU
rnacentral:tRNA from 1 species